UACGAAGGGAGCUAGCGUUGUUCGGAAUCACUGGGCGUAAAGCGCACGUAGGCGGAUGUGUCAGUCAGGGGUGAAAUCCCGGAGCUCAACUUCGGAACUGCCUCUGAUACAGCACGUCUUGAGUCCGAUAGAGGUGGGUGGAAUUCCUAGUGUAGAGGUGAAAUUCGUAGAUAUUGGGAAGAACACCGGUGGCGAAGGCGGCGACCUGGUCCGAUACUGACGCUGAGGCGCGAAAGCGUGGGGAGCAAACAGG
rnacentral:rRNA from 1 species